GAGCCAGACUCCUACGGGAGGCAGCAGUGGGGAAUAUUGGGCAAUGGAGGCAACUCUUACCCAGCAAUGCCGCGUGAAUGAAGAAGGUCUUCGGAUUGUAAAGUUCUUUAAUUGGGGACGAAAAAAAUGACGGUACCCAAGGAAUAAGCCCCGGCUAACUACGUGCCAGCAGCCGCGGUAAUACGUAGGUGGCAAGCGUUAUCCGGAUUUACUGGGUGUAAAGGGCGUGUAGGCGGGAAAGCAAGUCAGAUGUGAAAACCAUGGGCUCAACCUGUGGCCUGCAUUUGAAACUGUUUUUCUUGAGUACUGGAGAGGCAGACGGAAUUCCUAGUGUAGCGGUGAAAUGCGUAGAUAUUAGGAGGAACACCGGCGGCGAAGGCGGCCUGCCGGACCGUGACUGACGUUGAGGCUCGAGAGCGUGGGGAGCAAACAGGAUUAGAUACCCGCGUAAU
rnacentral:rRNA from 1 species